ACUCAAAUGAAUAGACGGGGGCCCGCACAAGCGGCGGAGCAUGUGGCUUAAUUCGAUGCAACGCGAAGAACCUUACCUGGGUUUGACAUGCAGGGAAAUCUCGUAGAGAUACGGGGUCCUUUUGGGCUCUGCACAGGUGGUGCAUGGCUGUCGUCAGCUCGUGUCGUGAGAUGUUGGGUUAAGUCCCGCAACGAGCGCAACCCUUGUCCUAUGUUGCCAGCGAGUAAUGUCGGGGACUCAUAGGAGACUGCCGGGGUCAACUCGGAGGAAGGUGGGGAUGAGGUCAAGUCAUCAUGCCCCUUAUAUCCAGGGCUGCACACAUGCUACAAUGGCCGGUACAAAGAGCUGCGAUACCGCAAGGUGGAGCGAAUCUCAUAAAGCCGGUCUCAGUUCGGAUUGAGGUCUGCAACUCGACCUCAUGAAGUCGGAGUCGCUAGUAAUCGCAGAUCAGCAACGCUGCGGUGAAUACGUUCCCGGGCCUUGUACACACCGCCCGU
rnacentral:rRNA from 1 species